rnacentral:rRNA from 1 species
AACGAACGCUGGCGGCAUGCUUAACACAUGCAAGUCGAACGAGAACCUCGGGUCUCUUGGUGCACGCGAGCUUAACGCCUGGGAACUUGCUCACAGGUUCGCAACCUCCCCCCGAAAGGGGUGCUACAACCGGAAAAUGUUUCUGGUCCCAAGUUCUAUCGCCUUUGGAUGGGCCCGCGUUGGAUUAGCUAGUUGCUAGGUUAAAAGCCUCCCAAGGCGACGAUCCAUAGCUGGUCUGAGAGGAUGAUCAGCCACACUGGGACUGAGACACGGCCCAGACUCCUACGGUAGGCAGCAGUGGGGAAUAUUAGACAAUGGGCGAAAGCCUGAUCCAGCGGGGCCGAGUGAGUGAUGAAGGCCUUAGAAUUGUAAAGCUCUUUUACCCGAGAUGAUAAUACCAGUACCGGGAGAAUAAGCACCGGCUAACACCGU